UUUUUUUAAAGAAUGAAUAAAUACCGAACCCAAGAAGGGUUGCCUACGUAUCUCAUCAAAAUGAGAAUCAGGUGUGCGUAGUUCAUGCAGAUAUGUCUUUGAAAAUAUGCAUAAACUAUUUGAUUUAUUUAUUUUUGAAUUUAAAAGAAUGAAUACUGAGCCCAAGAAGGGCUGCCUAUGUAUCUCAUCGAGAUGAGAAUUAGGUUCGCGUAGUUCGUGCAGAUAUGUUUUUGAAAAUAUGCACAAGCUAUUUGAAUAUAUUUUUUUAUUUUUUUUGAAAUUUGAAAAAAUGAAUACCGAACACAAGACGGGUUGCCUACGUAUCUCACCGGGUUGAGAAUCAGGUUCGCGUAGUUCGUUCAGAUAUGACAUAAAACAACUUUAGAAUUUAGACAAACUCGGAGCGAUUUCUUGUAUCCUCUUAACUGUCGACCUUUGUACUGCAUGUUGAAUGUGGUCUCUCAUUUUUCUUACAGUAACCACUAUAUAUUUAUUUUUUUAAUGUCUCUUGGAACUGUGUCUUCUCCCAAUNNNNN
rnacentral:lncRNA from 1 species